rnacentral:rRNA from 1 species
AGCAGUGGGGAAUUUUGGACAAUGGGCGCAAGCCUGAUCCAGCAAUGCCGCGUGAGUGAAGAAGGCCUUCGGGUUGUAAAGCUCUUUUGUCAGGGAAGAAACGGUGAGAGCUAAUAUCUCUUGCUAAUGACGGUACCUGAAGAAUAAGCACCGGCUAACUACGUGCCAGCAGCCGCGGUAAUACGUAGGGUGCAAGCGUUAAUCGGAAUUACUGGGCGUAAAGCGUGCGCAGGCGGUUUUGUAAGUUUGUCGUGAAAGCCCCGGGCUCAACCUGGGAAUUGCGAUGAAGACUGCAAGGCUUGAAUCUGGCAGAGGGGGGUAGAAUUCCACGUGUAGCAGUGAAAUGCGUAGAGAUGUGGAGGAACACCGAUGGCGAAGGCAGCCCCCUGGGUCAAGAUUGACGCUCAUG